rnacentral:rRNA from 1 species
GACGAACCGAGCGAACGUUAUUCGGAAUCACUGGGCUUAAAGGGCGCGUAGGCGGGCGAUCAAGUCAGGGGUGAAAGCCCCCAGCUCAACUGGGGAAGUGCCUUUGAUACUGGUCGUCUCGAGCGAGGUAGGGGCGUGCGGAACUUCCGGUGGAGCGGUGAAAUGCGUAGAUAUCGGAAGGAACACCGGUGGCGAAAGCGGCGCGCUGGACCUCUUCUGACGCUGAGGCGCGAAAGCCAGGGGAGCGAACGGG